UACGUAGGGUGCGAGCGUUGUCCGGAAUUAUUGGGCGUAAAGAGCUCGUAGGCGGUGUGUCACGUCGGCCGUGAAAACCUGCAGCUUAACUGUGGGCGUGCGGUCGAUACGGGCAUCACUGGAGUUCGGCAGGGGAGACUGGAAUUCCUGGUGUAGCGGUGAAAUGCGCAGAUAUCAGGAGGAACACCGGUGGCGAAGGCGGGUCUCUGGGCCGAUACUGACGCUGGAGGCGCGAAAGCGUGGGGAGCAAACAGG
rnacentral:rRNA from 1 species